rnacentral:rRNA from 1 species
UACGUAGGGGGCAAGCGUUGUCCGGAAUCAUUGGGCGUAAAGAGCGUGUAGGCGGUCCGGUAAGUCGGCUGUGAAAGUCCAGGGCUCAACCCUGGGAUGCCGGUCGAUACUGCCGGACUAGAGUUCGGAAGAGGCGAGUGGAAUUCCCGGUGUAGCGGUGAAAUGCGCAGAUAUCGAGAGGAACACCUGCGGCGAAGGCGGGUUGCUGGGCUGACACUGACGCUGAGGCGCGAAAGCUAGGGGAGCGAACGGG